rnacentral:misc_RNA from 1 species
UACGAAGAAUGCAAGCGUUAAUCGGAAUUACUGGGCGUAAAGCGCGCGUAGGUGAUUUGUUAAGUUGGAUGUGAAAGCCCCGGGCUCAACCUGGGAACUGCAUCCAAAACUGGCAAGCUAGAGUAUAACAGAGGGUGGUGGAAUUUCCUGUGUAGCGGUGAAAUGCGUAGAUAUAGGAAGGAACACCAGUGGCGAAGGCGACCACCUGGGCUAAUACUAACACUGAGGUGCGAAAGCGUGGGGAGCAAACAGG